ACUCAAAGGAAUUGACGGGGACUUGCACAAGCAGUGGAUUAUGUGGUUUAAUUCGACGAUAAACGAAGAACCUUACCCAGGUUUGAAACCUAGUUGCAAGCUUUAGGAAACUUUAGCCCUCGCAAGACAAUUAGGCAGGUGAUGCAUGGCCGUCGUCAGUUCGUGGUUUGAAUUGUUCCCUUAAGUGGGGUAACGAACGCAACCCUCGUUGGCUGUUACAAGUGUCAGCCGAGACUGCCCUAGAUUGUGGUCAUAAACGAAAGUUUGUGGGCAGAAUCUAGGGAGGAAGGCGAGGAUGACGCCAGGUCCGCAUGUCCCUCUGAUAUCUGGGGCUACACACAUAAUACAAUGGGCGCUACAACGAGACGCAAUGCCGUAAGGCGGAGCCAACCUUUAUAAAAACGCCCCAAGUUCGGAUUGAGGUCUGCAACUCGACCUCAUGAAGUUGGAAUUGCUAGUAAUCGCGGGUCAGCCAUACCGCGGUGAAUACGUUCUCAAGUCUUGUACACACCGCCCGU
rnacentral:rRNA from 1 species